rnacentral:rRNA from 2 species
GGCGGACGGGUGAGUAAUACCUAGGAAUCUGCCUGAUAGUGGGGGAUAACGUUCGGAAACGGACGCUAAUACCGCAUACGUCCUACGGGAGAAAGCAGGGGACCUUCGGGCCUUGCGCUAUCAGAUGAGCCUAGGUCGGAUUAGCUAGUUGGUGAGGUAAUGGCUCACCAAGGCUACGAUCCGUAACUGGUCUGAGAGGAUGAUCAGUCACACUGGAACUGAGACACGGUCCAGACUCCUACGGGAGGCAGCAGUGGGGAAUAUUGGACAAUGGGCGAAAGCCUGAUCCAGCCAUGCCGCGUGUGUGAAGAAGGUCUUCGGAUUGUAAAGCACUUUAAGUUGGGAGGAAGGGCAUUAACCUAAUACGUUAGUGUUUUGACGUUACCGACAGAAUAAGCACCGGCUAACUCUGUGCCAGCAGCCGCGGUAAUACAGAGGGUGCAAGCGUUAAUCGGAAUUACUGGGCGUAAAGCGCGCGUAGGUGGUUUGUUAAGUUGAAUGUGAAAUCCCCGGGCUCAACCUGGGAACU